rnacentral:rRNA from 1 species
UGGUUCAGGCAUGCAAGUCGUACGAUCUCGCAAGAGAUAGUGGCAGAAGGGUUAGUAACACGUGGGCAAUCUACCUUUGAGGCGGGGAUAACAUCUCGAAAGAGGCGCUAAUACCCGAUGAUACACCUUAGUCGCAUGAUUGAGGUGUCAAAGAUGGCGCAAGCUGUCGCUUAAAGAGGAGCCCGCGGCCUAUCAGCUAGUUGGUGAGGUAACGGCCCACCAAGGCUUUUGACGGGUAGCUGGUCUUAGAGGACGAUCAGCAACAUUGGGACUGAGAUACUGCCCAGACUCCUACGGGAGGCUGCAGUCGAGGAUCUUUAGCAGUGCCCGAAAGGGUGACUAUGCGACGCCGCGUGCAGGAUGACGGCCUUCGGGUUGUAAACUGC